CCACAUUGGGACUGAGAUACGGCCCAGACUCCUACGGGAGGCAGCAGUGGGGAAUAUUGCACAAUGGGCGCAAGCCUGAUGCAGCGACGCCGCGUGCGGGAUGACGGCCUUCGGGUUGUAAACCGCUUUUGACUGGGAGCAAGCCCUUCGGGGUGAGUGUACCUUUCGAAUAAGCACCGGCUAACUACGUGCCAGCAGCCGCGGUAAUACGUAGGGUGCAAGCGUUAUCCGGAAUUAUUGGGCGUAAAGGGCUCGUAGGCGGUUCGUCGCGUCCGGUGUGAAAGUCCAUCGCUUAACGGUGGAUCCGCGCCGGGUACGGGCGGGCUUGAGUGCGGUAGGGGAGACUGGAAUUCCCGGUGUAACGGUGGAAUGUGUAGAUAUCGGGAAGAACACCAAUGGCGAAGGCAGGUCUCUGGGCCGUCACUGACGCUGAGGAGCGAAAGCGUGGGGAGCGAACAGGAUUAGAUACCCUGGUAGUCCACGCCGUAAACGGUGGAUGCUGGAUGUGGGGACCAUUCCACGGUCUCCGUGUCGGAGCCAACGCGUUAAGCAUCCCGCCUGGGGAGUACGGCCGCAAGGCUAAAACUCAAAGAAAUUGACGGGGGCCCGCACAAGCGGCGGAGCAUGCGGAUUAAUUCGAUGCAACGCGAAGAACCUUACCUGGGCUUGACAUGUUCCCGACAGCCGUAGAGAUACGGUCUCCCUUCGGGGCGGGUUCACAGGUGGUGCAUGGUCGUCGUCAGCUCGUGUCGUGAGAUGUUGGGUUAAGUCCCGCAACGAGCGCAACCCUCGCCCUGUGUUGCCAGCACGUCGUGGUGGGAACUCACGGGGGACCGCCGGGGUCAACUCGGAGGAAGGUGGGGAUGACGUCAGAUCAUCAUGCCCCUUACGUCCAGGGCUUCACGCAUGCUACAAUGGCCGGUACAACGGGAUGCGACACCGCGAGGUGGAGCGGAUCCCUUAAAACCGGUCUCAGUUCGGAUUGGAGUCUGCAACCCGACUCCAUGAAGGCGGAGUCGCUAGUAAUCGCGGAUCAGCAACGCCGCGGUGAAUGCGUUCCCGGGCCUUGUACACACCGCCCGUCAAGUCAUGAAAGUGGGUAGCACCCGAAGCCGGUGGCCCAACCUUUUGGGGGGAGCCGUCUAAGGUGAGACUCGUGAUUGGGACUAAGUCGUAACAAGGUAGCCGUACCGGAAGGUGCGGCUG
rnacentral:rRNA from 1 species